rnacentral:piRNA from 1 species
UAAAGCGCAGAAAGCCCUGGCACUUGGC